UUUCUUUUUCAGUCAACACAACACACAUACACACACUCCUCUCCCUCACCCUCCCACCGGUACAUUCCUCAUCAUCACCCCUACCAUUUUUUCCAGCAAAAUCACUAGAAAAUCCUCAAGAACAUCACAUCUUCACACAAGUUAAUUGAGGUUCUAGCUAAUCUCCCCUUGGAGCUUGGAGAAUUAGGAUUUUGCGGUUGCUAGAGUAGGCAACAAUCUUUUGAGACAGCUUUUUGGUGGCUAAUAGUAGUUAAACUUACUACUGAUGGAGGCUGAAUUUUUGUGUAAUGGAUAUAUUAGAUGGUGUACAUCUUAGACUAGGCUUGACUCAUUCUUUUAUAUA